CCUACGGGGGGCAGCAGUGGGGAAUAUUGGACAAUGGGGGGAACCCUGAUCCAGCCAUGCCGCGUGUGUGAAGAAGGCCCUCGGGUUGUAAAGCACUUUCAGUGAGGAAGAACGCCUGGUGGUUAAUACCCAUCAGGAAAGACAUCACUCACAGAAGAAGCACCGGCUAACUCCGUGCCAGCAGCCGCGGUAAUACGGAGGGUGCGAGUGUUAAUCGGAAUUACUGGGCGUAAAGCGCGCGUAGGUGGCUUGAUAAGCCGGUUGUGAAAGCCCCGGGCUCAACCUGGGAACGGCAUCCGGAACUGUCAAGCUAGAGUGCAGGAGAGGAAGGUAGAAUUCCCGGUGUAGCGGUGAAAUGCGUAGAGAUCGGGAGGAAUACCAGUGGCGAAGGCGGCCUUCUGGACUGACACUGACACUGAGGUGCGAAAGCGUGGGUAGCAAACAGGAUUAGAUACCCGUGUAGUC
rnacentral:rRNA from 1 species